AAUCAACGCUGGCGGCGUGCCUCAGACAUGCAAGUCGAACGCGAAAGGUUCCUUCGGGAACCGAGUAGAGUGGCGCACGGGUGAGUAACACGUAGGUAAUUUGCCUUUGGGUGGGGAAUAACAGCCGGAAACGGCUGCUAAUACCGCAUAAUGCAGCGGCUCGACAUCGAGACAGUUGCUAAAGCGGGGGAGUCGCAAGACCUCGCGCCUAAAGAGAAGCCUGCGGCAGAUUAGCUAGUUGGUAGGGUAAUGGCCUACCAAGGCGACGAUCUGUAACCGGCCUGAGAGGGCGGUCGGUCACACUGACACUGACAUACGGGUCAGACUCCUACGGGAGGCAGCAGUCGGGAAUUUUGGGUC
rnacentral:rRNA from 1 species